rnacentral:rRNA from 1 species
GGUCGGAUUAGCUAGUUGGUGGGGUAAUGGCUCACCAAGGCGACGAUCCCUAGCUGGUUUGAGAGGAUGAUCAGCCACACUGGGACUGAGACACGGCCCAGACUCCUACGGGAGGCAGCAGUAGGGAAUCUUCCGCAAUGGGCGAAAGCCUGACGGAGCAACGCCGCGUGAGUGAUGAAGGUCUUCGGAUCGUAAAACUCUGUUAUUAGGGAAGAACAAAUGUGUAAGUAACUAUGCACGUCUUGACGGUACCUAAUCAGAAAGCCACGGCUAACUACGUGCCAGCAGCCGCGGUAAUACGUAGGGUGCGAGCGUUGUCCGGAAUUACUGGGCGUAAAGAGCUCGUAGGUGGUUUGUCGCGUCGUCUGUGAAAUCCCGGGGCUUAACUUCGGGCGUGCAGGCGAUACGGGCAUAACUUGAGUGCUGUAGGGGAGACUGGAAUUCCUGGUGUAGCGGUGGAAUGCGCAGAUAUCAGGAGGAACACCGAUGGCGAAGGCAGGUCUCUGGGCUGUAACUGACGCUGAGGAGCGAAAGCAUGGGGAGCGAACAGGAUUAGAUACCCUGGUAGUCCACGCCGUAAACGAUGAGUGCUAAGUGUUAGGGGGUUUCCGCCCCUUAGUGCUGCAGCUAACGCAUUAAGCACUCCGCCUGGGGAGUACGACCGCAAGGUUGAAACUCAAAGGAAUUGACGGGGGCCCGCACAAGCGGUGGAGCAUGUGGUUUAAUUCGAAACAACGCGAAGAACCUUACCAGGUCUUGACAUC